CAAACCCAGCCUCCCAGCUGCGUUACUAUGGGUUAGCGUUAGCAGAUUGUCUUCCUAGGAAGAAAGGGCUCCGAAUUUUCUCUCAACCUUUCUUGUGGCCAAGAAGCCAAUGGGGACAAGAGGCCUGGUGACUCCCAAGCUGGUGAGUAGUAGGUGCUGGUACCUGUGAGCCCACUGCCCUUUCUGUCUCCCCCACCCCCCGGGGCCUUGGAGUUCCAGGAAAUAGCUCAGCUCUGAGCUCCAGUCCCUCAGUGCUGAGCUCUCUGAUCCUAGCCAUGUCUGUUGAAGCUUCUUGAUAAUUCAUCCUAUUUUACUAAAACCAGGGAACCAUGUGAGAACUCAGAGGAAGGGAAAUGGAGAGAUAGAAACAU